GCUGCCGCCCCGCGCGGCUCCGCCCCGUUCUCGCACACGCGGGUCGCGUCCCGCCCGCUCCUGGGCCCCGUCGAGGCUCCGCGCACGGUACCCACGCCGACCCCCUCUCCACCGCUGCCCGUCCGGCCCAGCCGCCAUGUUCGGAGCGCGGCCCUUUCCUGCGGCUCUGCUCGGCCGCAGGCACGAAAGUCCCCUUUUGUUAAGCAGAACCGCGCUCGUGGCCUUAACGAAACACCGACUGCCGGCCAAAGCUUCCUCCCCUCGAGUAAAACCCACGCGGUGCUACCGAAAGCCUCGUGUUACUGCGGAAAGCUCCUCUGCUGCGCUCGAUGGGGCGCACGCGCGGUGGAAGGAGAUGCCGGAGCAGUUUAAUGGUCCCGGCGCCAAAACCGUCUGCAAACAGCGCCUGAACUUUCACCACGUCAGGUUCCCAUCCCUCCGUUGUUCCCAUAACGCAGGCAUUUAAUUCAUUAAAUUGUUUACGGGAAGGAGGAAGUCAUAAACUACCCCAACUUCUGCUCCCUGUUUGAGUAAGAAGCUUCCCCAGGUCGAGCCGAACACUUCUCAGCGAAUAACCGAAAUGGAAGCCGAGUUUAAAGAGCGCAUUGAAGAGGCGGGGGGGGCUCGGCUGCAGCCCCCGGCGCUGGGGCUCACCCAGCAGGCAGGCAGGGCCAGCAGACACCUGCAGCACAGAUGAUGGGCUGAGCUCCUCCCGAUGCCUUCUCCUGGCGGAGAUGAGCUCAGCCGGCACCGCGCCCUGGCCUCGCCCCGAGGAGCCGCCUGGGCUCCGCUCCGAGCUGACGGCAGCAGCCCCGGCUCAGGGGCGUCCCGCGCGCUGCCCGCUGCUGUUGUGCCGCCGCUGUACCUGCAGCUGGGAGCAGAAGCGGCAGCAAGUCCAGGCAAACGGGAGUCUCAACCUAUUUACGUAAAGUACAGCACAGCUGUUUUGUGCUCUCAUUUUUACACCGAGGGAAUCUCCAGCAGCAGUCACCUCAUACAGCAGGGAGAAAACUGAGCUGCUUCCUCACCUUCAGAACAGCUGCUCUGUUCCACACCCAGAACUCAAGGGUCCCCAGCGGGGAGAAGAAAGCUUUGAGCAACACGACUUCUGUGGCCGUGCCAAGGUCAAGGAUGGGGAAACAUUCCUGCAUGUCAGAAGGCACCAAAGCCCUGUUGGGGAUGAGCCCCCAGGGCUCCUUCCGUCGGAGCCAUGGUUAGAAGGGCCGUGUUUAGAAGCACCAUUUCUGCUAAUAGAAUCAGGUGCAAAGUCUCCUGUGGGAAAAAUACAAUGCAUACAAUGCAGGUACUUUACAGUGGAAGUUAUUACAGGGGAAGACAAAAGCACUGCAAAGAUCUUAAGGUGAUCAGAGCAGAGAGGAAAGUUAAAAUGACCCCCAAAAUAACAAGAUUGCCCUUGGAGGGAAGGUGAGGGGUCCAGGUCUGAAUACCCACAGGCAUCUCAUCAUCCUGCGUGCUGCAUAACACAAAGUGCUCUGCUGUACUCGGCGGGUUGGUGGCACAGCACUGCCUGACUUCAGAAUCAUCUGCCCUGGAUUCUGAUAAAGCAGCACACCUUACAGAAGAAAAGGCAGAUUCCUCCCAGUUGAAAUGAAACCUUCUUGAAGGGUUUGGUAGCCCUAUUUGCUUCCAAGGAUGUGCUGCUAUAGAACUGAAUGGUACAGCAAGAAGGGGCAAACAAGAACAGGAGCUGCUAGCAAGAAGCAGGAGCUCAGCCAGAGAGGAAGGCAUCCUGAGUGCCAGCAGCCUCAGCUGCAUCCCAGAGCACAGAGCUCCAAGUGCAGCCUGGUCCCACGGCACCCUGAGCCCUGGGACAACGGGAGCACCGGGAACUGAGGUGAGCUCUAGGAAAGAUGGGAGCCCAGGGCUCUGAGCAGACAGAUACCUGCAGCUCUGGGCACUGAGAAACCUGAACUGCUCCCAGAGACUCAGAAAUCACAACAGGAUGCUGACAUCCCAGGAACUGCGCUGUGGGGUCACCAAGCAGCAGGCUGGGACAGAGCCCUAUGGAUCCAAGGCAGUGUCACCCUGCGGUGCCCAGAGAGGCUCCGUACCACAUAUGAGCCUAUAAUCAGCUUUUGGCCUUAAGUCACAGAUAAGCGAACUCCACUGAAGCCAAAGCACUCCUUUCAACAGCAGAUUUCUGCCCUAUUAAAAUACACAUUCACAGCAAAAGGCGGGGAGGGAAACAUGCUGAGCCUUUCAGCUCUUUAACAAAAUAGAUUCCUGGGAACAAACAGAUUUAGUAAGCAGGAUGUAUGACAGAUCAAACCAAACCAGUUCACCUGGGCAAACCAGCCACACGUACGAGCCUGCAAAGCAGUCUUAAUUUCACCACCAAGGCUAGGAAAGGGUUUUACAUUUUCCAGAAAGCCAGCUGCUCCGAGAUACUGAUGCACGUCAGUCUUGGAGUAAAACAUUCAGUGUUAAGCUACCCCAGCCUCGGGAUCCUGGUUAGGAAUAUGGAGGGAUCUGCUGAGCAAUCCCGGACAUUUCAUUAACACAGCUUGCAGAUGUUGCACUGACUCCUGCUGUGGUGCCAGGGAUGCAGACUGUUUGGCUUGUUUUGCCUUGGCUGAUUUGAGUCCCAACAGCAGCAUUUUCAAUGGAUAACAACGGGAACUUUGCUAGCAGCUUCUGCUACAAGAGGGGAGAAGCAGCAGUUUCAAUACCUCAACACUUGGUGCUUUUUCCCCCAGAAGCUGUGCUCCAAACCCCUGCCCUGCCGUGUGCUGGCUGACAACACGCAGGCUUCACAUCUGCGGUGCCUGCCGCGCUCGGGGAAGCCUAACAAGCACCACAAGCUCUUAACUCUUCAGGCUGCAGGCUGAACGUGUCAGCUACAGGAAACCACGCGGAGGGGCCGCGCCGAAGGGGCAGGCAGGAAAUCUGAGCCCCGUCUGUGGGCUGCGCCGAGCCGAGCGAGGACGGAAGUCCCCCAGCUGCACAGAGCUGCUGGCCGGGCUGCGUGAGCAGCAGGGCCAGACUACCGUAGGCACAAGGAUAAGCAAAGCAGCGCCGUAGGAAGCGCGGCAGAGGCAGAGCUGAGCUUCACACGCCUCCCUUCAUCUCCAGCAGCUGCUGACUCACCCAAAUUACAGCUGUACCUGCUUGCUAACAGCACCGCCUGCUCCAGGCAGGACGUGCCAAGGGUGGGAAGCUUCUGGGUAAGUGUGGAGGCUGAUGAGGAGCAGCCACCCGUGGAGCACUUGGGGAGCCGGCGAGGGUGAGGCCCAGCUCAUUAUCUUAAGGGUAGUUCUAAAGUAGGUCAGAGAAAUCUAACCCUAAAAUCCCCCCUUUGCAUCGGCUGUGAAGGGAGCCAUGGGUGACAAGCUCAGGUCUGGACCUCAGCAUCGAGGAAAGCGACUCAGCCACGCAGCCCCUGCAGCACAGUGGGCUGAAUGGAAAAACACAACCUGCCGUGAUGCUCAGAGCUACAAAGCACAUCUUUCUUAAAAAGGAAAGGGUAACUGCAGUGAAACAAAGCUCCAUCGCAACCGUUCCCCCGAGUAUCUGAACUCAGCUGUGGUUUCUGCAUGGGUUGAGUGGAAACAGCAAUAAAAAACCCACUGAGGAGCCCGUCCCUCCUGCCAGCCGUGCAGAGCCCACUAUCACAGAGCACAGGCACGUUGCUGCGCCCCAGAUAAACCCACUGCCCUCUGCUCAGUGACGCUGCACAGGCCCAGGCAAGGAGAGAAGCCGAUCUGGUAAUAAACAUUAAUUAAAGCUUA